rnacentral:rRNA from 1 species
GACGAACGUUGGCGGCGUGCUUAAUACAUGCAAGUCCACUGAAGCAGUGGUAGCAAUAUCGCUGUGGAGGUGGCGCACGGGUGAGUAACACGUAGGUAAUCUGCCUUCAGGUCUGGCAUAACUCCGGGAAACCGGGGCUAAUAGCAGAUGAUGCAGCGGCUCGACAUCGAGACAGUUGUUAAAGCUAUGGCGCCUGAAGAUGAGCCUGCGUCUGAUUAGCUAGUUGGCGGGGUAACGGCCCACCAAGGCAACGAUCAGUAGCUGGUCUGAGAGGAUGAUCAGCCACACUGGAACUGAGACACGGUCCAGACUCCGACGGGAGGCAGCAGUAAGGAAUAUUGCUCAAUGGGAGAAAUCCUGAAGCAGCAACGCCGCGUGAGGGACGAAGGGCUUUUGCUUGUAAACCUCUGUAGUGAGAGAAAAAAAUCCCAAUCUUUGGGACAUGAUGGUAUCUCAAAAGUAAGCCCCGGCUAACUACGUG